UACAGGGGGUGCAAACGUUGCUCGGAAUUAUUGGGCGUAAAGCGUGCGUAGGCGGCGGGGUAAGUGAGGUGUGAAAUCCCAGGGCUUAACCCUGGAACUGCACUUUAUACUGCCUUGCUCGAGGGCUGGAGAGGAGACUGGAAUUUACGGUGUAGCAGUGAAAUGCGUAGAGAUCGUAAGGAAGACCAGUGGCGAAGGCGAGUCUCUGGAAAGCUGCUGACGCUGAGGCACGAAGGCCAGGGGAGCAAACGGG
rnacentral:rRNA from 1 species